rnacentral:misc_RNA from 1 species
AUUAAAGCUUUGCUAUUACUCCCAAUAACUAUAAUAUCCACAUAUACAAGUAAAGCAAUAAACACAUAAAGUUAACACAAAACUACCAAGAAACAAAAAUAAACUUUAAAGAAAGAAUGAGUAAAAGCUUAUCUCUGGAAGCUCUACUCCUUCUCUCUCUCUGAACAGAACACUUGAGGGAUUUCCCUUGAGUUUUAGUUCUUUCCCCAACCUUCAUUAAACUUCAAAUCUCUGCUUGGACGAAAUUUUGAAACCUUUCCUCAUAAUUUUGUCUAUUAAGGCUCUUAUACCCUUGAGCAAAGGAAUUUUUGGCUGCUGAAACCCCAAUUUUUGGCUGCCAAUAACCAUUUUGUCCCAAAAAAG